GAUGAACGCUAGCUACAGGCUUAACACAUGCAAGUCGAGGGGCAUCAGUUUGGUUUGCUUGCAAACCAAAGCUGGCGACCGGCGCACGGGUGAGUAACACGUAUCCAACCUGCCUCAUACUCGGGGAUAGCCUUUCGAAAGAAAGAUUAAUAUCCGAUAGCAUAUAUUUCCCGCAUGGGUUUUAUAUUAAAGAAAUUCGGUAUGAGAUGGGGAUGCGUUCCAUUAGUUUGUUGGGGGGGGUAACGGCCCACCAAGACUACGAUGGAUAGGGGUUCUGAGAGGAAGGUCCCCCACAUUGGAACUGAGACACGGUCCAAACUCCUACGGGAGCAGCAGUGAGGAAUAUUGGUCAAUGGACGCGAGUCUGAACCAGCCAAGUAGCGUGAAGGAUGACUGCCCUAUGGGGUUGUAAAACUUCUUUUAUAUGGGAAUAAAGUUGUCCACGUGUGGAUUUUUGUAUGUACCAUAUGAAUAAGGAUC
rnacentral:rRNA from 1 species